UACGGAGGGUGCGAGCGUUGUCCGGAAUCACUGGGCGUAAAGGGCGCGUAGGCGGCCUGAUAAGUAGGGGGUGAAAUCCUGCGGCUUAACCGCAGGGCUGCCUUCUAAGCUGUCGGGCUCGAGCACAGUAGAGGCAGGUGGAAUUCCCGGUGUAGCGGUGGAAUGCGUAGAGAUCGGGAAGAACAUCAGUGGCGAAGGCGGCCUGCUGGGCUGUUGCUGACGCUGAGGCGCGAAAGUGUGGGGAGCGAACCGG
rnacentral:rRNA from 1 species